rnacentral:rRNA from 1 species
UAGGGAAUCUUCCACAAUGGGCGCAAGCCUGAUGGAGCAACACCGCGUGAGUGAAGAAGGGUUUCGGCUCGUAAAGCUCUGUUGUUAAAGAAGAACACGUAUGAGAGUAACUGUUCAUACGUUGACGGUAUUUAACCAGAAAGUCACGGCUAACUACGUGCCAGAG